UAGCCUCCACUCAGCCGUGGUGUUCGGGAAGCCGGUGUGAUACCGGCGCGGCCCUCGCCACUGUGAUCGGGAAUUGCUACCUCCCUUUCCGCCGCCCCCGUGCGGCGGGCCACUGAGACCGCUGAGGUCUUGGGAAGGCAGGGAAGUCGCGUCAUACCCGUCAGCCAGGAGACCGGCCACGGCGACGAAGUACCC
rnacentral:ncRNA from 2 species